UACAGAGGUCUCAAGCGUUGUUCGGAAUCACUGGGCGUAAAGGGUGCGUAGGCCGCACGGCAAGUCAGAUGUGAAAGCCCGGAGCUCAACUCCGGAAUGGCAUCCGAUACUGCCGUGCUCGAGGACUGGAGAGGAGUCUGGAAUUCACAGUGGAGCAGUGAAAUGCGUAGAUAUGGGGAGGAACACCGGUGGCGAAGGCGGCCAUCUGGACGGUCACUGACGCUGAGACGCGAAAGCGUGGGUAGCAAACAGG
rnacentral:rRNA from 1 species